rnacentral:rRNA from 1 species
AUUGAACGCUGGCGGCAGGCCUAACACAUGCAAGUCGAACGAGUGGCGGACGGGUGAGUAAUGUCUGGGAAAAUGCCUGAUGGAGGGGGAUAACUAAUGGAAACGGUAGCUAAUACCGCAUACCAUCAGAUGUGCCCAGAUGGGAUUAGCUAGUUGGUGGUGUAAAGGCCUACCAAGGAGACGAUCCGUAACUGGUCUGAGAGGAUGCUCAGUCACACUGGAACGUGGCAACGUUCCUGACUCCUACGGGUGGCAGCAGUGGUGAAUAUUUGCCAAUGGGCGAAAGCCUGAUCCAGCCAUGCCUCGUGUGUGAAGAAGGUCUUCGGAUUGUAAAGCACUUUAAGUUGGGAGGCCUUACCAACAGAAUAAGCACCGGCUAACUCCGUGCCAGCAGCCGCUGUAAUAC